rnacentral:rRNA from 1 species
GAGAGAGACAUGCGCGCAUAUCAAUAAGCGGAGGAAAAGAAACUAACAAGGAUUCCCUUAGUAACGGCGAGUGAAGCGGGAAGAGCUCAAAUUUGAAAUCUUCAAGGUUUUACCUUGACGAAUUGUAGUUUAAAGAAGUGUUUUCUGCUGAAGUUUUGGUAAAAGUUCUUUGGAAUAGGACAUCAUAGAGGGUGAGAAUCCCGUAUUUGACCAUUAUUUUCAGCUUUGUGAUACACUUUCAAAGAGUCGGAUUGUUUGGGAAUGCAGUCCAAAAUGGGUGGUAAAUCUCAUCUAAAGCUAAAUAUUGGCGAGAGACCGAUAGCGAACAAGUACCGUGAGGGAAAGAUGAAAAGAACUUUGAAAAGAGAGUUAAACAGUACGUGAAAUUGUCAAAAGGGAAGCGUUUGACACCAGUGUUGUUUUCUCGAAAAUCAAUUAAAAAUGGCUCGAUUUUGUAUUGCUGAGACCUUAAAAGCUCACUGUACAUUUUUCGUGUCUUUUUUAAUGCACUUUUCGUUUAACAAGUCAACAUCAGUUUCUUUUGUUGUAAAAGGGUCAUUGGAAGGCGGCUUUCUUUUCGGAGAAAGUGUUUAUAGCCUUUGGCCUCUGCAAUCGGAGAGACUGAGGUCUGCAGCGUAGACUCUUCGGGGUUAGAUACAUUUGUGCUAAGUUAUAGCCUUUUCAUAGACAACUUGUUGACCUAUGAUUAGUCAUUGUAGCUUACUCGCUUAUGCUAUUUUACCUACGCUUAGGAUGUUGAAGAUGUAGCACAUCAU